rnacentral:rRNA from 1 species
GACGAACGCUGGCGGCGUGCUUAACACAUGCAAGUCGAACGGAAAGGCCCUGCUUUUGUGGGGUGCUCGAGUGGCGAACGGGUGAGUAACACGUGAGUAACCUGCCCCUGACUUUGGGAUAACUUCAGGAAACUGGGGCUAAUACCGGAUAGGAGCUCCUGCUGCAUGGGGGGGGUAGGAAAGUUUCGGCGGUUGGGGAUGGACUCGCGGCUUAUCAGCUUGUUGGUGGGGUAGUGGCUUACCAAGGCUUUGACGGGUAGCCGGCCUGAGAGGGUGACCGGCCACAAUGGGACUGCGAGACGGCCCAGACUCCUACGGGAGGCAGCAGGGGGGAAUAUUGCACAAUGGGCGGAAGCCUGAUGCAGCAACGCCGCGUGCGGGAUGACGGCCUUCGGGUUGUAAACCGCUUUCGCCUGUGACGAAGCGUGAGUGACGGUAAUGGGUAAAGAAGCACCGGCUAACUACGUG